UACGGAGGGUGCGAGCGUUGUCCGGAAUCACUGGGCGUAAAGGGCGCGUAGGUGGCGCGGGCAGUCAACGGUGAAAGUUCGGGGCUCAACCCUGAAUCGGCCGUCGAUACUCCUGGGCUUGAGCACUGUAGAGGCAGAUGGAAUUCCGGGUGUAGCGGUGGAAUGCGUAGAGAUCCGGAAGAACACCGGUGGCGAAGGCGGUCCGCUGGGCAGUAGCUGACACUGAGGCGCGACAGCGUGGGGAGCAAACAGG
rnacentral:rRNA from 1 species